rnacentral:rRNA from 1 species
GAUGAACGCUAGCGGCAGGCUUAAUACGUGCAAGCCGUGGGGCAGCAUGAAGUAGCAAUACUUUGAUGGCGACCGGCAAACGGGUGCGGAACACGUACACAACCUUCCUUUUAGUGGGGAAUAGCCCAGAGAAAUUUGGAUUAAUACCCCGUAACAUAGCGAUGAGGCAUCUCAUUGCUAUUAUAGCUUCGGCGCUAGAUGAUGGGUGUGCGUAUGAUUAGAUAGUUGGCGAGGUAACGGCUCACCAAGUCUACGAUCAUUAGCUGAUGUGAGAGCAUGAUCAGCCACACGGGAACUGAGACACGGGCCCGACUCCUACGGGAGGCAGCAGUAAGGAAUAUUGGUCAAUGGACGAAAGUCUGAACCAGCCAUGCCGCGUGAAGGAUUAAGGUCCUCUGGAUUGUAAACUUCUUUUAUAUGGGACGAAAAAAGGUCUUUCUAGAUCACUUGACGGUACCAUAUGAAUAAGCACCGGCUAACUCCGUGCCAGCCGCCGCCGUAACAC